rnacentral:tRNA from 1 species
GUCCCCAUCGUCCAGAGGCCUAGGACACGAGAUUUUCGAUCUCGCGACCGGGGUUCGAAUCCCCGUGGGGACG